rnacentral:rRNA from 1 species
UGCAAGUCGAGCGGACCGACGGGAGCUUGCUCCCUUAGGUCAGCGGCGGACGGGUGAGUAACACGUGGGUAACCUGCCUGUAAGACUGGGAUAACUCCGGGAAACCGGGGCUAAUACCGGAUGCUUGAUUGAACCGCAUGGUUCAAUCAUAAAAGGUGGCUUUUAGCUACCACUUACAGAUGGACCCGCGGCGCAUUAGCUAGUUGGUGAGGUAACGGCUCACCAAGGCGACGAUGCGUAACCGACCUGAGAGGGUGAUCGGCCACACUGGGACUGAAACACGGCCCAAACUCCUACGGGAGGCAGCAGUAGGGAAUCUUCCGCAAUGGACGAAAGUCUGACGGAGCAACGCCGCGUGAGUGAUGAAGGUUUUCGGAUCGUAAAACUCUGUUGUUAGGGAAGAACAAGUACCGUUCGAAUAGGGCGGUACCUUGACGGUACCUAACCAGAAAGCCACGGCUAACUACGUGCCAGCAGCCGCGGUAAUACGUAGGUGGCAAGCGUUGUCCGGAAUUAUUGGGCGUAAAGCGCGCGCAGGCGGUUUCUUAAGUCUGAUGUGAAAGCCCCCGGCUCAACCGGGGAGGGUCAUUGGAAACUGGGGAACUUGAUGCAGAAGAGGAGAGUGGAAUUCCACGUGUAGCGGUGAAAUGCGUAGAGAUGUGGAGGAACACCAGUGGCGAAGGCGACUCUCUGGUCUGUAACUGACGCUGAGGCGCGAAAGCGUGGGGAGCGAACAGGAUUAGAUACCCUGGUAGUCCACGCCGUAAACGAUGAGUGCUAAGUGUUAGAGGGUUUCCGCCCUUUAGUGCUGCAGCAAACGCAUUAAGCACUCCGCCUGGGGAGUACGGUCGCAAGACUGAAACUCAAAGGAAUUGACGGGGGCCCGCACAAGCGGUGGAGCAUGUGGUUUAAUUCGAAGCAACGCGAAGAACCUUACCAGGUCUUGACAUCCUCUGACAACCCUAGAGAUAGGGCUUCCCCUUCGGGGGCAGAGUGACAGGUGGUGCAUGGUUGUCGUCAGCUCGUGUCGUGAGAUGUUGGGUUAAGUCCCGCAACGAGCGCAACCCUUGAUCUUAGUUGCCAGCAUUCAGUUGGGCACUCUAAGGUGACUGCCGGUGACAAACCGGAGGAAGGUGGGGAUGACGUCAAAUCAUCAUGCCCCUUAUGACCUGGGCUACACACGUGCUACAAUGGGCAGAACAAAGGGCAGCGAAGCCGCGAGGCUAAGCCAAUCCCACAAAUCUGUUCUCAGUUCGGAUCGCAGUCUGCAACUCGACUGCGUGAAGCUGGAAUCGCUAGUAAUCGCGGAUCAGCAUGCCGCGGUGAAUACGUUCCCGGGCCUUGUACACACCGCCCGUCACACCACGAGAGUUUGUAACACCCGAAGUCGGUGAGGUAACCUUUUGGAGCCAGCCGCCGAAGGUGGGACAGAUGAUUGGGGUGAAGUCGUAACAAGU